rnacentral:rRNA from 1 species
UACGGGGGGGGGAAGCGUUGUUCGGAAUUAUUGGGCGUAAAGGGCGCGUAGGCGGCUAGAUGUGUCAAAGGUGAAAUCCCUCGGCUCAACUGAGGAACUGCCUUUGAAACUGUCUGGCUUGAGGCCGGGAGAGGGUAGCGGAAUUCCCAGUGUAGCGGUGAAAUGCGUAGAUAUUGGGAGGAACACCAGUGGCGAAGGCGGCUACCUGGACCGGUUCUGACGCUGAGGCGCGAAAGCGUGGGUAGCAAACAGG